UACGAAGGGUGCAAGCGUUACUCGGAAUUACUGGGCGUAAAGGGUGCGUAGGUGGUUUGUUAAGUCUGCUGUGAAAGCCCCGGGCUCAACCUGGGAAUGGCAAUGGAUACUGGCAAGCUAGAGUGCGGUAGAGGGUAGUGGAAUUCCUGGUGUAGCGGUGAAAUGCGCAGAUAUCAGGAGGAACACCAGUGGCGAAGGCGGCUCACUGGCCCGGUACUGACGCUGAGGCGCGAAAGCGUGGGGAGCAAACAGG
rnacentral:rRNA from 1 species